rnacentral:rRNA from 1 species
UACAGAGGGUGCGAGCGUUAAUCGGAAUUACUGGGCGUAAAGCGCGCGUAGGCGGCCAACUAAGUCGGAUGUGAAAUCCCCAGGCUUAACCUGGGAACUGCAUCCGAUACUGGAUGGCUUGAAUCCGGGAGAAGGGAUGCAGAAUUCCAGGUGUAGCGGUGAAAUGCGUAGAUAUCAGGAGGAACACCGGUGGCGAAGGCGGGUCUCUGGGCCGUAAACUGACGCUGGAGGAGCGAAA